rnacentral:rRNA from 1 species
GAUGAACGCUGGCGGCGUGCCUAAUACAUGCAAGUCGAGCGAACGGACGAGAAGCUUGCUUUUCUGAUGUUAGCGGCGGACGGGUGAGUAACACGUGGAUAACCUACCUAUAAGACUGGGAUAACUUCGGGAAACCGGAGCUAAUACCGGAUAAUAUUUUGAACCGCAUGGUUCAAAAGUGAAAGACGCUCUUGCUGUCACUUAUAGAUGGAUCCGCGCUGCAUUAGCUAGUUGGUAAGGUAACGGCUUACCAAGGCAACGAUGCAUAGCCGACCUGAGAGGGUGAUCGGCCACACUGGAACUGAGACACGGUCCAGACUCCUACGGGAGGCAGCAGUGGGGAAUCUUGCGCAAUGGGCGAAAGCCUGACGGAGCAACGCCGCGUGAGUGAUGAAGGUCUUCGGAUCGUAAAACUCUGUUAUUAGGGAAGAACAUAUGUAUAAGUAACUGUGCACAUCUUGACGGUACCUAAUCAGAAAGCCACGGCUAACUACGUG